UACGAAGGGGGCUAGCGUUGCUCGGAAUCACUGGGCGUAAAGCGCACGUAGGCGGCUUUUUAAGUCAGGGGUGAAAUCCUGGAGCUCAACUCCAGAACUGCCUUUGAUACUGAGAGCUUGAGUCCGGGAGAGGUGAGUGGAACUGCGAGUGUAGAGGUGAAAUUCGUAGAUAUUCGCAAGAACACCAGUGGCGAAGGCGGCUCACUGGCCCGGUACUGACGCUGAGACGCGAAAGCGUGGGGAGCAAACAGGG
rnacentral:rRNA from 1 species